GUACCGUGAGGGAAAGGUGAAAAGUACCCUGAGUAAGGGGGUGAAAUAGAACCUGAAACCGUGCGCUUACAAGCGGUCGGAGCCCAUGAGUUGGGUGACGGCGUGCCUUUUGCAUAAUGAGCCUACGAGUUACCAUAUAUAGCGAGAUUAAGGUCUAGAGGACUGUAGUCGAAGCGAAAGCGAGUCUUAACAGGGCGAAUAGUUAUAUGUGGUAGACGCGAAACUUUGUGAUCUACCCAUGGCCAGGGUGAAGGUUAGGUAACACUAACUGGAGGCCCGAACCAGUACACGUUGAAAAGUGUUUGGAUGAGUUGUGGGUAGGGGUGAAAGGCCAAUCAAACUCGGAAAUAGCUGGUUCUCCGCG
rnacentral:rRNA from 1 species